rnacentral:rRNA from 1 species
UACAGAGGGUGCAAGCGUUGUUCGGAAUUAUUGGGCGUAAAGCGCGUGUAGGCGGCUUUGCAAGUCGGGUGUGAAAGCCCUCGGCUCAACCGAGGAAGUGCGCCCGAAACUGCAGAGCUUGAGUGCCGGAGAGGAUGGCGGAAUUCCCCAAGUAGAGGUGAAAAUUCGUAGAUAUGGGGAGGAACACCGGUGGCGAAGGCGGCAUCCUGGACCGGUAUUGACGCUGAGGUGCGAAAGCGUGGGGAGCAAACAGGG